rnacentral:rRNA from 1 species
GUGUCAGCAGCCGCGGUAAUACGAACCGUCCAAACGUUAUUCGGAAUCAUUGGGCUUAAAGGGUACGUAGGCGGCGCUGUCAGUCGGGUGUGAAAGCCCUCGGCUCAACCGAGGAAUUGCGCCCGCUACUGCAGUGCUUGAGGGAGACAGAGGUAAGCGGAACUGAUGGUGGAGCGGUGAAAUGCGUUGAUAUCAUCAGGAACACCAGUGGCGAAAGCGGCUUACUGGGUCUCUUCUGACGCUGAGGUACGAAAGCUAGGGGAGCGAACGGGAUUAGAUACCCCGGUAGUCCUAGCUGUAAACGAUGAGCACUGGGUCGGAGAGUCUUCCAUAACUUUCCGGCCGAAGCGAAAGUGUUAAGUGCUCCGCCUGGGGAGUAUGGUCGCAAGGCUGAAACUCAAAGGAAUUGGCGGGG